AAAAUAUGUAAACUCUUAGACUGACUAGUUAGCCAAACUUGUAGGUGGACUACCAGCAUCACUGAACAAAAAACAUCCCAUUUGCCUGCCUCUCUCAACAGAUGGGUGGUUUCAGUUCAAUGCACCCUAAGGAAAAAGGAAGUGGUAACCAGCUUCUCCCUCCAUCUGAUAUUCAGGAUGUAGAAGGAGUUCUCUUCUGAUUGAAUAUGAUUCUAGAUAAGAUGGGC
rnacentral:lncRNA from 1 species